CCAACCUUCACCUGAAGGCCCACGUUGCGAUCAGUCCUGUCACUACGGAGAUAUAUUCUCAUCCGUCUGAUCUCC